AUUAAGAGCCAUUCGGUGGGGCUUCGAUGAUGGAUCAAGUGCAGGGAAAAACUGGUAGGCAAGAUGGAGAUUUAGUUUAUUUUUUAUACUGUUUUUCCUUAGAUUCACAAAUCUAGUUACUUAUUUAAUUAAAUAUCUAAUCCAAUAUUUUCUCAACUACAUUUUUAUCUUCGAUCCUUUAGCUCAAUUAUCUACACAUGAAAAACACUUUUUAGCUUAUCCCAAAUAAGCCACUGAAAAUUUCCACUGGCUGCUUGAAACAAAUAACCAAACAAAUUAUACAGCAGCAACAAGUGGAACUUUUGCAUAACAAUUUAAUUAAAGUGCAGCCACGAAAGACAACAAAAACCAGCCAGAAAAAAAGGUGGAAAAGCUGCGAAAACUUAAAGCGCAAAAUUCAAAUCAUAUAGAGGCCCAGGACCGGGCCAGAAACAACCGAAAGUUGGUUUAUUAAACAAAUCAACUAUAAUUAAGCGUAAUGUAUGAGUUAGUAGCAACUAACAAAAAAA
rnacentral:lncRNA from 1 species